rnacentral:tRNA from 1 species
UCCCUUGUAGCUUAGUCGGUGAAGAAUCUGCCUGCAGUGCAGGAGACCCAGGUUCAGUUCCUGGGUUGGGAG